UCCGUAGGCGGGCUAAUAAGUCAGGGGUGAAAUCCCACAGCUUAACUGUGGAACUGCCUUUGAUACUGUUAGUCUUGAGUUAUAUGGAAGUAGAUAGAAUGUGUAGUGUAGCGGUGAAAUGCAUAGAUAUUACACAGAAUACCGAUUGCGAAGGCAGUCUACUAACUAUAUACUGACGCUAAUGGACGAAAGCGUGGGGAGCGAACAGGAUUAGAUACCCUGGAAGUCC
rnacentral:rRNA from 1 species